AAUCAACGCUGGCGGCGUGCCUAACACAUGCAAGUCGAACGGGAAAGUGGAGCAAUCCAUGAGUAUAGUGGCGACCGGGUGAGUAACACGUGACUAACCUACCUUCGAGUGGGGGAUAAC
rnacentral:rRNA from 1 species